rnacentral:lncRNA from 1 species
UUUCUAUUUGCGUCUGCCCGCAGGGGGUGCCAUCUUCUGCUUCAACUGCACCAGCUCUGAGGGCUACAACUGUACCACGGCUCAGGAAAAAUGUACUUCAUCCGUGAAUAGCUGCAUCACCAUUGCCCGGGAUGAAGACACAGGGGCUUUGGACAUUGAAAAUCCAGUUUAUGAGAAGAAAUGCAAUGCAGAUGACCGUUUAUGCAACCAGUUCUACGGGCUGUUGGCCGGGGACUUCCGUAUGCGAUGGAACUCCAGCUGCUGCCGCGCUGAUCGCUGUAACACCAACAAAAUAAUUGUCCAAAAAGCCUCACAAAACCCAAAUGGAAAGCGUUGCAAUUCAUGCUUUGCCCGGGGCGCAGAUAUCUGCCUAAACAAAACAGAGGUGGCCUGCACUGGACAUCUGACCCACUGCAUCCACUUUGCCACCACUGCAAAGAAAGACGAAUUCAAGCACGAACAGGUCAUCUUCACCGGAUGCGCCACGAAGAACUUGUGUGAAAUGGGAGCCGUGGCGCUCUUUGCUGGGAGCCCCAACGUUGUGGUGAAGACCAACAUCUGCAGUGGUGCCCCAGAUGUCUCCUCCCAGUGCAGUCUGGCCUUGGCCAUCUUGGCAGAAUUGCUCUUCUUUGCUCUGGGGUCUUGAUUCCAUUCCAUUUUGCCCUCUGCUCAUCUCCCUGCCACCCUCCUUUGUCUAUCCCUUUUGCCUUCUCCUGUGGAUCUGCUGUCCAGUUUCCUAUCCACACUACCUUCCAGUUCCUCCGUGAACAUCUCCAUAGGCUCUUUGAUGCCCUGGUCUAAUGGGAGAGAGCUAGCAAGCUUCCCCUUUCUACCAUUUAGUCUGCUGAUUUGUUCUCAGUGAAGACCUCCAGACUUUGAAGGAAUGACUUGUACUGGGGACAGGUCUUCUCUGCACAGCCCUUGUCACCAGAAGCUGCUGAUGGAUGCGUUCAGUGGAGCCUGAUCAAACUCGUCUCAUGCAUGAGGGCUUUGUGCUGAUGUACUGGCUGAAGAAGAUGAAGCCAAACUAUGGUCCUCCAGAUACAGCCAAACUCUACCUUCCAUGAGGUUUUUUUAGGAGCGAAGAGUAAUGGUAGUUCAGCAACAUAUAGUAAAUCGUAGUUUUGCCACCUUUGGGACAGAGUAUUAGAUAUAGACUGAUGGGAACUCAAUUCAAGGCUCUGCUCAAGCAUGGAACUUGCAAGGUGACCUUGGACUAACUCCUAGUUCUCAUCCUACCUUUCCCUACAGGAUGGUUCUGAAGAUACAGAGAGGGGACGGUGUGGUUUGCUUGGGUCUCCUUGAGGAAAUGGUGGGAUAAAAACGUAAACAAACAAGUGCAUAACAGGGCUCUUUCCACACUGGGCCUAAUUCUGGGAUAUAUCCCAGAAUAGGAGCCUGUUGUCUGUGCUGUAGUGCAAACUACAGCAGGCCCCUCAUCAGCCAUGCCAGCAAAACCGUUCUCCCCACUCAGCAACUUAAAGAACCUCAGAACUGCCUGAGAUCUGAUCUGAGCAAAGUCUGCAGUUUCAAAUCCCAGCACCAUGUGGAAGAAUGGUGGGAAACUGCCAGUCUCUGGCGCUAACUCACGAAUAUGCAAAAUGAUACCAGCCUAUUACUUCUUGUAUACCGAAUAAAUGCAUACAAAGUUUAUUACA